rnacentral:precursor_RNA from 1 species
CUAAGUACUAGUGCCGCAGGAGUGUUACUAAUUUCUCCUGCUGCUUCAGUGCUUAUCA